AUCGCUUCUCGGCCUUUUGGCUAAGAUCAAGUGUAGAACAUGAUCCACUCAAGGGCAGAUAUUUGUUCAUUUACUCACUCAUCUGUUCAACAGGUAUUGAACAGUCCCUGUGUGCCAUGCACCGUGCUGGACCAGAGGACACAAC
rnacentral:snRNA from 1 species